rnacentral:rRNA from 1 species
UACGGAGGGUGCAAGCGUUGUCCGGAUUUAUUGGGUUUAAAGGGUGCGUAGGCGGCUUUUUAAGUCAGGGGUGAAAGACGGUGGCUCAACCAUCGCAGUGCCCUUGAUACUGAAGAGCUUGAAUGGACUAGAGGUAGGCGGAAUGUGACAAGUAGCGGUGAAAUGCAUAGAUAUGUCACAGAACACCGAUUGCGAAGGCAGCUUACUAUGGUUUAAUUGACGCUGAGGCACGAAAGCGUGGGGAUCAAACAGG